rnacentral:rRNA from 1 species
AGAGUUUGAUCCUGGCUCAGAUUGAACGCUGGCGGCAUGCCUUACACAUGCAAGUCGAACGGCAGCACGAGAGCUUGCUCUUGGUGGCGAGUGGCGAACGGGUGAGUAAUAUAUCGGAACGUACCCUAGAGUGGGGGAUAACGUAGCGAAAGUUACGCUAAUACCGCAUACGAUCUACGGAUGAAAGUGGAGGAUCGCAAGACCUCAUGCUCAUGGAGCGGCCGAUAUCUGAUUAGCUAGUUGGUGGGGUAUAAGCUCACCAAGGCGACGAUCAGUAGCUGGUCUGAGAGGACGACCAGCCACACUGGAACUGAGACACGGUCCAGACUCCUACGGGAGGCAGCAGUGGGGAAUUUUGGACAAUGGGCGCAGGCCUGAUCCAGCAAUGCCGCGUGAGUGAAGAAGGCCUUCGGGUUGUAAAGCUCUUUUGUCAGGGAAGAAACGGUGGACUCUAAUACAGAUCACUAAUGACGGUACCUGAAGAAUAAGCACCGGCUAACUACGUGCCAGCAGCCGCGGUAAUACGUAGGGUGCAAGCGUUAAUCGGAAUUACUGGGCGUAAAGCGUGCGCAGGCGGUUGUGCAAGACAGAUGUGAAAUCCCCGGGCUCAACCUGGGAAUUGCAUUUGUGACUGCACGGCUAGAGUGUGUCAGAGGGGGGUAGAAUUCCACGUGUAGCAGUGAAAUGCGUAGAGAUGUGGAGGAAUACCGAUGGCGAAGGCAGCCCCCUGGGAUAACACUGACGCUCAUGCACGAAAGCGUGGGGAGCAAACAGGAUUAGAUACCCUGGUAGUCCACGCCCUAAACGAUGUCUACUAGUUGUCGGGUCUUAAUUGACUUGGUAACGCAGCUAACGCGUGAAGUAGACCGCCUGGGGAGUACGGUCGCAAGAUUAAAACUCAAAGGAAUUGACGGGGACCCGCACAAGCGGUGGAUGAUGUGGAUUAAUUCGAUGCAACGCGAAAAACCUUACCUACCCUUGACAUGUCUGGAAUCCUUGAGAGAUCAGGGAGUGCUCGAAAGAGGAUCAGAACACAGGUGCUGCAUGGCUGUCGUCAGCUCGUGUCGUGAGAUGUUGGGUUAAGUCCCGCAACGAGCGCAACCCUUGUCAUUAGUUGCUACGAAAGGGCACUCUAAUGAGACUGCCGGUGACAAACCGGAGGAAGGUGGGGAUGACGUCAAGUCCUCAUGGCCCUUAUGGGUAGGGCUUCACACGUCAUACAAUGGUACAUACAGAGGGCCGCCAACCCGCGAGGGGGAGCUAAUCCCAGAAAGUGUAUCGUAGUCCGGAUUGUAGUCUGCAACUCGACUACAUGAAGUUGGAAUCGCUAGUAAUCGCGGAUCAGCAUGUCGCGGUGAAUACGUUCCCGGGUCUUGUACACACCGCCCGUCACACCAUGGGAGCGGGUUUCACCAGAAGUGGGUAGCCUAACCGCAAGGAGGGCGCUCACCACGGUGGGAUUCGUGACUGGGGUGAAGUCGUAACAAGGUA